rnacentral:lncRNA from 1 species
UGUAUUUAUUAACCAUUUUAUUUCGUUAUUUUACUUAAGCAAAUAAAAUGCCGGGAUUACCGGGAACAAGUCACAUGUGCGUCAUGAAAAUAUAAAAGUGCAAAACCCCAUCGUUCCUCCUUUUUCCAUUUAAAUAAGAUGAAUACUAUCCCACCGCACGGCAGAGGAGCGGCUCACACACAGUUCAGAAAAAGCCUCACGAGUAGGCUACAAAAACUGAAGCGAGUGAGAGUCAUGAUAACCUAGGGCAAUUACUACAACAUACAGUACACACAAUCCCUAAAGAGACAUCGUAGUGUAACUUUAUAACAGAGCGAAUCAAUCUUUGGUCAGUAAUGUCUAGUGAGUCUUAUUCAACUGUAACUAACUCAAGUAAAGAGUGAAAUGGGAGCUCACUCUCACAAUUUACACAGACUAGGGGCUAUAGCCUACACACAGACACAUAUUAAAAUUCUCAACAGUGAUUAAAUGCAUUACCCAAAUAUAUAUUUUUUUUUAACAAACAUUUUUUGCCUUAUUCAAGAUUACACAAAUAUGGUGAUAGUCUACUUUCAUGAGCGGAAACAUUUGAAACUUGAAUAAUGAGCGACAAUUUGCAUAAAUGAAACUAUAACUGCAUGUGAAACUAGAUUGAUUACAGAUAUGCAUAACAUUCUAGGCACUUAAUCUUGGACACCAGAAAAAUGAUAAGUAAUUAAUAAAACAAAAUGUUCAAUACAUACAUACAUAACGUACAAGACAUGCCAGAGCAGUAUCGAAAGGAUUUCAGUUUUACUUUUACAUGUUUGUAAAACUUAAAACAUACAAAUCAUUUAAAAAACAAAACACACCAUUUGAAAGGACUUGGGUACAAACCAACACAAUGUAUGAUAUGAAUAUCACUGAAGAUAUCACCUACAAAUCUUUUGAACACCUUUGGAUUGAUUGUCAUCAGCUUUAUCACAUUCAGAGCAACACCUGCUCUUCAUACUUCCCAAGUUUGUCAGAAAUCAAGGCAAGAAGGCUACUUACACCAUGGCACUUAAAAUAUAGUCAAAGUUGCUGAUGGCAGAUGGACUGUGAAACCUGUGCCCACACACACGCGCUAUGCCACUGCUAUUUCACCCAGGGCUAUAAAUAGCAGCAGAGAUGAUAGAAAGCCAGAGGAGGCAGUUCUGAAGAUACAUGGCCAAAGUUUAUCAGCACUUUACCAACCACACCUCUUGAAGCUCAACCCUUGGUUUGAGAUGUCAGUAUGUGAAGAUCUCCAACUUUGGUACACACAGACACUAAGCACAUGGAGAGGGAUGUACAGUUACAGGAAUGGUGCUGGUUUUGACUUGGAGCACUUCUCUGCAUUAAAAGCAUGCUGAAUGGCUCUAGUUGGAUAAUCUUUCAUAUUCUCCUAUAUACCCAAACAUCUCUGGCAACAUGUGAAAACUCACAAGCACAUAGAGAGACACACAGCCACACAUCCACGCCCACACACAUGCAUGCACAUACAAACACUUGGUAACUACUAAAAGGGAGCAUCGCAGACAUGUCAGUAAGAGCUGAUGAACACAAUGAACAAUGAUAAAGGCACAAUCAAAAACACUAAGUCACAUCAAAUGUGUGCAAAAGUCUGGGUCGGUGGGUUUGUAUAAAAAAUAUAUUGAGUCAAAUAAAGUACAACAUAUCUUUACAUACUGUAAUGGGGGAUUUUGUGCAUAUAAAAUGUACAUUCUAGAUCAUGCAGUAGCACCAUUGUUUCUUGAGGUUCAACUUCUUCUGAAGAACAUCCUCUACUUCUGCCUUCCACAGUAUUUGCUUUGGCAUCCAGCAGCAACUCCUCCUGUAGAGAAACCACAUUGGAAGAGAGGAUAUUUUAAAUGCAUGCAUUGGUACGAAAGUGAUUCCAUACCUGCACCACCACCUGCUCCAGUAAGAGGGAUACCUGCUCCUCCAGCCACACCACCUGCUCCUCCCACAACUACAGGCGAGAUACAAAACACUGGAUGGAGAAAACGUGACACCAAUCAGGCCCCUGAGGACUGGAGUUUCCCACCCCUGAAGGGAGAUAGGACUUUAACUACCAAGGAGAAAGGGUGAGUGCAUACAGUACGUAUCUACAGGUCUUCCAGGCACAAUCUCCAUAGGAGCAAUCUUUAUUGUGGAGAACAUUAACAGUAACUAGUAAUAUUACAGUAUACUGUAAGUCAAUCAAGUAUUGACAAGUGUCAGAUGAAUCUAAUUGGUUAAAAAGCGAAGGGAGGGAGAAGAGAGCAGAAAUUGGAGAUAUUUCAAGAGCAGCAAGCUGCGGAGUUAGUUGAGGGAAAGAGAGGAAGAGCGUUUAAGAGGACAAACUACUUCUAGAAAAUACCUGAGAGACACUGGCAACACAUUAUCUUGUCAACACCCACUUGAACAUUACAUUACAUUCCUUCAUUUUUUUUUUGUUGUUGUUGCAUAAGGCCAAAAAAUACAAAGUUUUCACAAAGGAAUCUAACCGAAUCAACUAAAAUGAAAUGGUUAUCAAAAGCCAAUAAGUAAUCGUGUCAAAUGUUAUGAAGUGCUUAUGUAAGGAAUUGUAAAGAACAUACAGUACGAGUCAAACGUUUGGACACACCUACUCAUUCCAGGGUUUUUCUUUAUUUUUACUAUUUUCUAUAUUGUAGAAUACUAGUGAAGACAUCAAAACUAUAAAAUAACACAUAUGGAAUCAUGUAGUAACCAAAAAAGUGUUAAACAAAUCAAAAUAUAUUUUAUAUUUGAGAUUGUUCAAAGUAGCCACCUUGACAGUUUUGUACACUCUUGGCAUUCUCUCUUCAUGAGGUAGUCACCUGGAAUGCAUUUCAAUUCACAAGUGUGCCUUGUUAAAAGUUAAUAGUGAAGACCUCAGAACUAUGAAAUAACACAUAUGGAAUCACGCAGUAACCAAAAAAGUGUUAAACAAAUCAAAAUACAUGUUAGAUUCUUCAAAGUAGCCACCCUUUGCCUUGAUGACAGCUUUGCACCCUCUUGACAUUCUCUCAACCAGCUUCACCUGGAAUGCUUUUCCAACAGUCUUGAAGGAGUUCCACAUAUGCUCAACACUUGUUGGCUGCUUUUCCUUCACUCUGCGGUCCAACUCAUCCCAAACCAUCACAAUUGGGUUGAGGUCGGGUGAUGGUGGAGGCCAGGUCAUCUGAUGCAACCCGGACAGGAAGACCACAUCAGUGACUCAACCCACUCAAGUGACGCACCCCUGAUGCAGCACUCCAUCACUCUCCUUCUUGGUCAAAUAGCCCUUACACAUCCUGGAGGUGUGUUGGGUCAUUGUCCUGUUGAAAACAAAUGAUAGUCACCACUAAGCGCAAACCAGUUGGGAUGGUAUAUCACUGCAGAAUGCUGUGGUAGCCAUGCUGGUUAAGUGUGCCUUGAAUUCUAAAUAAAUCCCCGACCGUGUCACCAGAAAAGCACCCCCACACCAUCACACCUCCUCCUCCAUGCUUCAUGGUGGGAACCACUGCGUCUCACAAAGACAUGGCGGUUGGAACCAAAAAUCUAAAAUUUGGACUCAUCAGACCAAAGGACAGAUUUCCACCGGUCUAAUGUACAUUGCUGGUGUUUUUUAGCCCAAGCAAGUAUUUUCUUCUUAUUGGUGUCCUUUAGUAGUGGUUUCAUUGCAGCAAUUCAACCAUGAAGGUCUGAUUCACACAGUCUCCUCUGAGCAGUUGAUGUUUGGAUGUGUCUGUUACUGUACAUGUACGCUUUGAAACAUUUAUUUGGGCUGCAAUCUGAGCCUGGCAACUCUAAUGAAGUUAUCCUCUGCAGCAGAGGUAACUGUGUCUUCCUUUCCUGUGGCUGUCCUCAUGAGAGCCAGUUUCAUCAUUGCGCUUGAUGGUUUUUGCGACUGCACUUGAAGAAACUUUUAAUGCUCUUGAUAUUUUCCGCAUUGACUGACCUUCAUGUCUUAAAGUAAUUAUGGACAGUCGUUUCUCUUUGCUUAUUUGAGCUGUUCUUGCCAUAAUAUGGACUUGGUCUUUUUCCAGAUAGGGCUGUCUUCUGUAUACCAACUGAUUGGCUCAAACACAUUAGGGAGAAAAUACAUUCCACAAAUGUACUUUUAACAAGGCACACUUGUUAAUUGAAAUGCAUUCCAGGUGACUACCUCAUGAAGCUGGUUGAGAGAAUGCCAAGAGUGUGCAAAGAUGUCAUCAAAGCAAAGGGUGGCUACUUUGAAGAAUAUAAAAUAUAAAAUAUGCACUUUUAUGGUUACUACAUGAUUCCAUGUGUGUUAUUUCAUAGUUUUGAUGUCUUCACUAUUAUUCUAUGUAGAAAAUAGUAAAAAUAAAGAAAAAUCCUUGAAUGAGUAGGCUUGUCCAAGCUUUUGACUGGUACUGUAUGUGUAUAUUACACUCUUCAAAUGAAGUGUAAGUAUGUCCUUUGUCAGAAAGGGUUUGAUCAUGCAAACACAGACAGCAGCAAGUCUUACUGGGCUCUGGCUCUGGGGCCUCUGUGCCAAUAGGUGUGGGAUCUGCCAAAAGACAACAGGUUCCAGUUUCAUCCAUUGCAGUUGAAAAAGACACAGGGUAGGGGAAACUAGCGUAGGGCAGUAGACAUUAUGGGGAUCCUUGGCACUGCCAUGGCAGGAGGGAAGGGGAUAAGCUCCAGCUCCAGGUGGUGAAUAGCUAUUGGACCAUACAACAAUGCUAAAGGGGACAGCACUAGCAGAACAGAUAUUAAGCUGUCUCUUGUUUGAGGGUUUGGGGAGAAGAGAGGGGGGCAAAGAGGUUUGGGGUUUGGGAGGAGAUAGGGCAGGGGACUGGCUUGCGCGAUACUGCCAUUGCUGUUUGAUACACCUGCAGUGGAGCGCAGUUAGCCAGACAGCAGUGGUAGUGGUAGAAGAUGUGGGAGUUAGCUUGGAUGCUAAGCCUUUGUCUGUAAGGCAUUGAAGUCCUGAUGAGGCCUGCUGGAAAAGUCUGAUGGGGCUUUGUCGGAUUAUAAACAGGUUAUAUACAUACAGCUCAUGAAACGAAAAGGAAAACUAUAACUUGCAUUAUAAUCAGUCUCUAUCAUUGAUUUUUUAUUCUAUGUCUAUGGCAUUCUAUGUUACAGUAACUACCCCUUUUUUAACAGCUUUGUAAAAUACAGUGCAUAUUUCAAAUACAGUAACUCAGGGGUUCUCAAAAUGGGGUCUGAGGUACUGUAGGGGGUCCGUGACCAGAUAAUAUUUUUUUUAUGAAUAGUACUAACAACAAUAGAUUAAACUAAUUUUGUCCAAGGGAUCCGUGGAAUAAGUUAGAGGGUGUAAUACAAUACAAUGUAAUAUUGUUAAUCUACAAUUUAUGUUCUUAAUCCUGGGCAACAUGGGCCUGGGAGGCUCACAGGGAUAUUUGUAUCCACAGUGUUCCACCAAUUACCAAGUUUUGAACAUUAUACUUCUUGUAUUCCCUCAAAAUGUUUUUAAAACAUAAAUGCACUGUAAUUUAAGCUUUAAAACUGCAAAGUUUUCUCUCUGCCCCAUGACAAAAUGUGUAGAAUUGCAGGAAAAUGUUCCUUCCCAGGGUCCGAGACUUGGUUCGUACGACCAUGCACUGCAAACGUCAUAGUUUACUACACUCCUUGUAUGCUAUUCGUAACUCACUCGAGCUGUGUUCGGAUUAUGAGGGGGUCCCUGAUUAAUUUUCUAUCACAUAAGGGGUCCCCGGACCCCAAAAAGUUUGAGAACCCCUGUAGUAACUAACUCUUACUCUAUAGCUUUUGAUAUACAGAAUUUGUACUGAUCAAUGAGAAAACAGGUUAAUUAAAUCCAUAGUCUUGUUGAGUGCAAAACUUGUGGUUCUACCUGGGAUGGGAGUUCCACUGGGUUCUAGAGAUGAAUCCUCUGCUGUAAAGGUGUCAUAGUGUCACAUUAGGAGCUUUGUGGAUUUUCUUUAAACCCUUCAUUUUGGACCUACUUGCGUAGUACUAGCACUUAUCCUGAAGGACCUAUCUAGGCCAGGUAAAAUAAACCAAGCAAGAAUCAAAGGUGAAACUAGUAUCUAUUUACCUGGUUUGCCUGCGAUAGGUAUCCCUGUGCCCACUGGUACGUCAGUGCGCUCAAUGGCAGUUCCUCCAACACCACCACCCACGCCCACACCUGGUCUUGGAGUCGCUAUAGGUGCUGGCACACCUUCUCCACCGAUGCCCGCCCCACUUGGCAUACCUGCGGGCAGGUAAGAACAUAGUUCAAGGUAGAGUAUAAUCUGUUGAGCCAUAGUGAAAAUCUUGAUCCAGCUAAGAGAGAAUAGGUACUGUACAG